GCCACGAGAAGCUAAUAGCGUUGGUCUUGUAAAUCAAAGAUAAGAAAUUAAAAUUUCUCCAUGGCA
rnacentral:tRNA from 1 species